UCAAGUGUUCCCAAGGUGAUAUGUAUGCAUAUUAAAGUUUGAGGAGCACUGAUAAAAGCUACAGGAGGUAAUGCUCUUGAAGAGAAGUAGAAGAAUU